CUUCGGACCUCGCGCCAUUAGAUGAGCCUAGGUCGGAUUAGCUAGUUGGUGAGGUAAUGGCUCACCAAGGCGACGAUCCGUAACUGGUCUGAGAGGAUGAUCAGUCACACUGGAACUGAGACACGGUCCAGACUCCUACGGGAGGCAGCAGUGGGGAAUAUUGGAACAAUGGGCGAAAGCCUGAUCCAGCCAUGCCGCGUGUGUGAAGAAGGUCUUCGGAUUGUAAAGCACUUUAAGUGGGAGGAAGGGUAGUAACCUAAUACGUUGCUACUUUGACGUUACCGACAGAAUAAGCACCGGCUAACUUCGUG
rnacentral:rRNA from 1 species